AUAAAGUUUUAUUUUGAUUUUAAAUUUAAAUAUAAUUUUAAUUUAUAUAUAAAUUUUAGUGUAAUAGUAUAAAAGUUUUUAAAAAAUUUUUAAUUAUAGUAUUUAGUAAUAAUUAAUUUUAAUAAUUAAAGAAAUUUAGAAUUAGUAAUAAUUGUUAAUAUUAACAAAAUUUGUGCCAGCAGUUGCGGUUAUACAAAUAAUGUAAUUUAAUUUUUUUAGUUUUAUUAAAUUUAAAUAAUUUUAAUUUUUUUUUAAAAUUUAUUAGGUGAAAUUUUAAAUUUUAAUAUAAUUUUAUUCAAAUUUAUGAUUUAGGAAAUUUUAUUUUUAAACUAGGAUUAGAUACCCUAUUAUUUUUAAUGUAAAAUAAUAUAGGCUAGAUUAGUAUUAGAUAUGUUCUUGAAAAUUAAAAAAUUUGGCGGUAUUUUAGUCUAUUCAGAGGAAUCUGUUCUAUAAUUGAUGGUCCACGAUUAAAUUUACUUAUUUUAUAUUUGUAUAUCGUCGUAGAUUAAAUAUUUUAUUAGAAUAUAAAUAUUUAAGAUUUUUGAUAAAAAAAAAAAUCAGAUCAAGGUGCAGUUUAUAAAUAAGAAGAAAUGGAUUACAAUAAAUAAAUUUAAUUGGAUAAAAAUUUUAAAAAUUUUUUGAAAUUGGAUUUGAAAGUAAUUUUUAUUUUAUAAUAAAAAUGAUUUAAGCUCUAAAAUAUGUACAUAUCGCCCGUCGCUUUCAUUAUAAAGUGAAAUAAGUCGUAACAAAGUAGGCCUACUGGAAUGUGGGCCUGGAAUGA
rnacentral:ncRNA from 1 species